CGAACGGGUGAGUAACACGUGGGCAACCUGCCCAAAAGAGGGGGAUAACACUUGGAAACAGGUGCUAAUACCGCAUAACCAUAGUUACCGCAUGGUAACUAUGUAAAAGGUGGCUAUGCUACCGCUUUUGGAUGGGCCCGCGGCGCAUUAGCUAGUUGGUGGGGUAAAGGCUUACCAAGGCGAUGAUGCGUAGCCGAACUGAGAGGUUGAUCGGCCACAUUGGGACUGAGACACGGCCCAAACUCCUACGGAAGGCAGCAG
rnacentral:rRNA from 1 species